GAUGAACGCUGGCGGCGUGCCUAACACAUGCAAGUCGAACGGAGAUUACGGACGGAAGUUUUCGGAUGGAAGACUGUAAUUCUUAGUGGCGGACGGGUGAGUAACGCGUGGGCAACCUGCCCUAUACAGGGGGAUAGCAGCUGGAAACGGCUGGUAAGACCGCAUAAGUCGGUUAAAUCGCAUGAUUUGAUCGGGAAAUGAGCAAACAGGUAUAGGAUGGGCCCGCGUCCGAUUAGCCAGUUGGCAGGGUAAAAGCCUACCAAAGCGACGAUCGGUAGCCGGACUGAGAGGUCGGGCGGCCACAUUGGGACUGAGGCACGGCCCAAACUCCUACGGGAGGCAGCAGUGGGGGAUAGUGCACAAUGGAGGAAACUCUGAUGCAGCGACGCCGCGUGAGUGAAGAAGUAUUUCGGUAUGUAAAGCUCUAUCAGCAGGGAAGAUGAUGACGGUACCUGAAUAAGAAGCCCCGGCUAACUACGUG
rnacentral:rRNA from 1 species